GCCUUUAUAGCUCAAUGGUAGAAAUCUGGCCUGGAAAGCCAAAGGCCAGUGGUUCGAUCUCCGUCCGGGACA